rnacentral:rRNA from 1 species
AAGACUGGGAUAACUCCGGGAAACCGGGGCUAAUACCGGAUGGUUGUUUGAACCGCAUGGUUCAGACAUAAAAGGUGGCUUCGGCUACCACUUACAGAUGGACCCGCGGCGCAUUAGCUAGUUGGUGGGGUAACGGCUCACCAAGGCGACGAUGCGUAGCCGACCUGAGAGGGUGAUCGGCCACACUGGGACUGAGACACGGCCCAGACUCCUACGGGAGGCAGCAGUAGGGAAUCUUCCGCAAUGGACGAAAGU